UACGUAGGGUGCAAGCGUUGUCCGGAAUUAUUGGGCGUAAAGAGCUCGUAGGCGGUUCGUCGCGUCGGCUGUGAAAACCUGAGGCUCAACCUCAGGCCUGCAGUCGAUACGGGCGGACUUGAGUUCGGCAGGGGAGACUGGAAUUCCUGGUGUAGCGGUGAAAUGCGCAGAUAUCAGGAGGAACACCGGUGGCGAAGGCGGGUCUCUGGGCCGAAACUGACGCUGAGGAGCGAAAGCGUGGGGAGCGAACAGG
rnacentral:ncRNA from 2 species